UUCUUCACACUGUAAAACUGUCUGGCACUAGAAUCUGUGCACACACACUUAUGCAAUCAUGCAGGCAUCACAGGUUUGGGUACACAAUGUGCACCAACAGUAGAGUAGAAACACAGCUGGGUGUUGCUGCUUGGUGCCUUUUUGCGACUUGCUGCAGGUUAAAAAAAGUCAAAAGGAACAUCUUUUUAGGCUUGGCAAACUAAACCAAACAACAUUAUAAAAUCACCACCACAAACUAUAGCUUUUUAAAUGUACACAUUCAAACCGAUUUCACAAACUUUUUUUUAUCACUGAGCCAUUUCAGUGGGUUACAUUUUAUUGUCAGGUGUUUCUGUUAUUUGGAACCCACGCUAUAUUUAGAUGCUUCAGUUCAGGAGAUAAAGUUACAUAAGAAGUAUGCAUGAUGCUAAAAACAGACAUAAAAACAACAUGAGAUAAGUGAAAAUAACUACAGAAGGCAAACAGCAAUUGUCCAAUUAUAGCUUAGCAAACCUAAUUAGGUACGGCUUACCCGUCAAACUUUAGGUUUCUACAAAUGUCUAAUCAAUGUUUGUAGUAGUAAUGCUGCCUUCAGAUGCUCCUCCAAAAUAUUGUGUUUAUGAAUUACGAGCACAAGAAUGGCCCUCAAGAGUCGGAAUCAUGAGUGGGAAACUGGAAAAAUUUCAAUGAUGCCCGUUUUGCCAAGCUGUGAUGUUUGUGUGAUGUUUCAGGGCAGCAGAAAUAGCAGAAAGCAUGGAAACAGCAUCAACAAUUGACGUGUUAUUUGAAAAGGGGGUUAAACAUCGAGCAGCCUGUUGAUUGUGAAAGGGCAUUGUUGUGGUGUGGCUACAGGCUGCGGCUGGGGGGACCCUGGCAAUGUGGGAGAAGAGACGGUGAAGGUAGUGACGUUUUGCUUGCCUUGUUUGAGUAACAAGAUGUAUUUUUUUCUUUAUUGUUCACUUGUUCACAUUUACUCUUUUUUUUCAUUUUUUGAAGACACUCCUUUUUACCUUCUGCUUGAUUUUGUUUAAGAAUUAUCAGUAUUUGGGUGAUAAUUCAUCCAAGAGGGUGAAAGGCUUAAUUUGGAGUCACAAUCAAUAGGCUGCUUCUGUUAUGUGUUUCUGUGCAGUUUGACAUAAUUUUAUCAUCAUUACUUUUAUGUUGGCUUGUUGCUUUAUCUAAGCUCUUGGAUGCUUUAUAAAAGCUUUAAACCAAAGCCACCCACGCUUAAUUGUAACUUAAGUCAUGACCUAAAUGACUAUAAAUGUAAUGUUUUGCAUUCUGUUGGUAAAAAGUUAAUUUGUUUGUGUUUUUUUGCAUUUAGACACAGUACCAAGAUAAUGCUUAUGCCUAGCUUCAUAAUAAAUCUUGAAAAUAAGUACAUAAGAGUGGAUGGAAGAGUGUGUGUCUGUGUGAGAAGGAACUCUUUUAAAGCAAAAGAGAGACUGAGAACCUAAUCAAACACUUAAUUCAACAAGCAUGCAUCUGUAGCAACCAACAGCACUACAUUAGACAACUUGCUGUAAGAAUUUGUGUCUCUGUCAGUCCUCCAGUGCUCAUUGUUCUGCCCUGUUG